rnacentral:rRNA from 1 species
UACGUAGGGUGCAAGCGUUUAAUCGGAAUUACUGGGCGUAAAGCGUGCGCAGGCGGUUUUGUAAGUCUGUCGUGAAAUCCCCGGGCUCAACCUGGGAAUUGCAUUUGUGACUGUACGGCUAGAGUGUGUCAGAGGGGGGGUAGAAUUCCACGUGUAGCAGUGAAAUGCGUAGAGAUGUGGAGGAAUACCGAUGGCGAAGGCAGCCCCCCUGGGAUAACACUGACGCUCAUGCACGAAAAGCGUGGGGAGCAA